AUCCCGUUACAAAACACUAACGUUGUAACUGUAUUCGCGCUAUAGAAUAUUUGACAUCGACUUAAAAAGGGGAUAUCCCCAGUUAUGAUUAAAUAUGUCAGAAGCUCUAGCUUUUUGGCAGUCGUACCGCGUACCGCGUACUGCUCCGACGAUUCCGCGCAUAACUUCAGUGCGAUACUUUUCACCUCAAUUGCGAACCGUAAGAAUUCACUACACUACAGUUUGGUUAAGCGAUCGUCAGUUAAACGAGUUAUAACUAGGAUGGGUAACGCCUGCGCCGCGUGUAUUGUAAAUGUGCUAGCAGGAUUUGUGGUUUACACUGGAAAGGGCUUGUGGUUACUUAUGAAGCUCGGAUUUACGACUACGGGCAUUGUAGCAGGCAGUCUCGCGGCCUUAGCUAUGUCGUGCUUCGGCAACGUGGAAGCCGGUAGCAUUAUAUCAAGAGCCACUUCUAUGGGUAUGAAAUCUUGAAAUAUAUCCGAGUAAUGUGAGAAAAUUCUAAAAUGUUAACUGAAUUAAAAUUGAAACAAG